UUCAUGUGAGGAGAACACAAUGUCCAAGAAAAGGUCUGCUAUUCUGAGCAAACGUACACCCCCGCCCUGACAUCCACGCACGACUCCCUCGCUCUCCAUCCAGCCCUCUACAGCAGUCACAACACGGCGGCCAUUUUAGAUCUAUAAAUCAGAAUGCAUGGCGUCACGCCACUGUGUAUAACCUCAUGUGGCUUCGCUCUCUCUCUCUCUCUCUCUCUCUCACACACUGCAGCAGAGGAAUUGAGGGAAGGAUGUGGAGUGUAAAAAACGGCAAAGAUGGAGGAGAGAAAAUUCUAGAGAGGAAGUGCAAACGAGAUGCCCUCAAGUUGAGCCUUUUGAUGCUGACCACCGCUUCGUACUACCAAGUCCUCCCUGCUCUCCAGCCAAGCGAGAGAGCCCCUCUUGCCAUCACCAUCACCAGAGAGACGACCUCGGGACACAAAUAGGACGUGACACCCCGAGAGAGGGUGGAGGUGGAGGAGCAAGAAGAGGAUGAGGAAAAUGUACUCUCUCCUCUUGUCCUACCCUACUGUCUUGUCUCUCUCUCUGCUCGGAAGGCCUACGGCUGCAGAGUGGUGGGGACGAGACGCGCAUUGACAUAGAGUUUGUGACACGCGAUGACUCAUAGUGAAGCCAUUUGAGCAGGGAUAUGACCUCAAUUCGGCGAUUUAUGUAAUCAUCCCUUAGUCCACUCCUGUUACUGGUGUGUGUGGUUACCGCCAUUUACCAUUUCUCUGGCUACUCUCCAUCAAUUUAUUCAUUUUUCUUGGUGUCCUCAUUUCAGUCUUAAUCACAAAUAUGUAAAUAAUGUAAUGCCAAAAAAAUAAUAAUGCCAAAACAUGUUUUACAAGGCUUACAAUGUAUAUAUAAUAAUUUAGCAGUGGUGGAAGAGCUAUUGAGAUCUUUUAUUGCAAGCAAAAUUGCAAAGCCUCAAAGUA